GGCACCUGACAGCUAACCUCAUCCGCACCCGUGGAAGCACAGGGUGAUCUCGCCUCAUGCCUACAAAUGCCUGGCAGGUCUCCAUGCACCGCGAGGGCGCCCUGCCCGCUCUGUUCCUCUGUGACUCCAGUCACCCCCAUUGGGAGCUACGGCAGAUCCUGGCACAGUCAGGCUAGAGAAACCCUGGCCUUCUCCCCUCGGAAGAGGGAUUUGGUCCAUGCUCCCUGACCUGACACGGAGGAUGAGACCCUGGCAGCACCCCCAGGAGGCUGGCUGGAGGCGGGAGGGAGGGGCAAAGGAAAGCAGCUCUCACAAGGGGCAGGACAGGACCCUGUUGCAGAGGCAGAAAUCCACCCACGGAGCACGUUCCUGCUCUACCCGUCCCCCUCUGUCCUCCCCUGCCCCGACCCGGAAUGCCUGCCGCACCGGGUAGAAGUAAUGCCCGUUCCUGUCACGUAUGUGAACUGCCAGCAAUGCCUCAUCAUCAUGCCACACUACAGAUGGCUCCGAUCACCACGGUGUCCGAGGAAGCUGCACGGAGGGCAUCACUCGAUCGCGACACUCAGACGUGCACCCCGCUUCCCGAGCCGGCUCCCCGCUUGGUGCGCGGGCACCCAUAGCCAGCUUGAGGUGAGGAGGGAGGCACAGUCUUGCCAGCUGCACAGGCACCACCUCGUACCCCGUGAUCUAACUGCCCUGGUCGUCCUGCCACCUGUCUCAGCCCUUCUUCCUCAGGCGCCACCCCAGACCCUCGCGUGAGCCAGGCCAGAGCUGCCUCCUAGGUGGAGAAGAGCAUCCCUUGAUGUGUGAGUCCACUUGGACGGACUCCCAGAAGUGCUGCAUCCACUCUCCACUGUGGUCAAGGGCAAGGAGGUGUGCAUGAAGGGCUUCUAAGAUCUUGGUUCCUUUGGCAACAUCAGAGAUGGACAGCACUGCUGAAACCACCUGGCCCCUCCCACUGCACUUGGCCUUGCUCAUGGAGAAGCCUUACUGAGCCUCAGCCCCUGCAGAUCCACGGGAGAUUGCCUGGAGGAUUAAGUGGACGAUGUGUCCGAUGGGAAUCCACAUGGAUGGGAAAAGAGGAGAAAUGACAACACACAGGACUGGAAGCAGCAAAGCUGGCGGAUGGUGCACUUUCCUGGAGCCAAACUGGAGGCAGUAGCGUUGAAGCAGAAAACCAACCUCGGAGUUCCCCAAAGUCUCGUGAACUGACACCCACAGGUUCCUUUGGAUCAGUUAGUUACCCACAGGGGAGGAACAUAAAUAAAAGCAGGAUUUGGUGGAAGUUGUCUGAGAUGGAACUAGAUCCCUCGAUCCCUCAUCCACUCUGCGACACUAGGGGACCCCCCUCCCCUUCUCUUUCCCUGGAGUGGGGGUGCUUAGCACUGGCGGUUGACAGGCUCGGUGAGGGCCAUUCCACAUAGGUGAUGAAGUGACCAUUCACAUACAGAAUGUUGUAUCCUUGCCCUUGGGACCCUAGCCCCCUUCUCCUCAGCUCCCGGAAGCUGACUGCCUGGCCUCUGCCGUCCAGCCUGGGGGCUGGGAGAGGUCUCUCCAGGGAUGACCAGCCCAAAAGGAAAGACCUAGAUAGACACUCAGCACUGGAGGAGCCCGACAGGAAGCCCCUCUGACCACUGUGCAAGGGAGCGUCCCACGGACAAGCCCGCCACCCACUCGGUGCUUCCAGACAGCUUUGGCAGGGUCACCUGCCGACCCAGCACCAACCACGUACGUAUAACCUGGGAGCAAAGGAACUUUAGGAAACGAGCUGCACAGAGAAGAGGCAAUAACUCAAAAUUAUUAUUAAUAUUCCCAGAGAGGCAAGACAUGAAACGUAUUUGGCCUCCAUGAAAUAAGAACAGGAAGGAGUCCAUCGAAAAGAACUAUCUGGAGAAUACAGCACCUUAAAAUAACAGAAUCAAAGUCACUGAAAUUUUUAUUAUAAAAUCAAUUCCAACUUAUGUAUUACCAAUCCUAUCAUGUUCCUAAGAAAAAGACUCGAGGAGGCUUUUAACACACGCACAGUGUAACCAGGAUAAAA